AGUCAAAUGCCUUAACCACUGAGCUACUGAGUGACAACAUUGACUUAAUAACCCAGUGACACCUGGGUAUUGGCAGCACAAACUUCCCUGGAAGUGCACAUGCCCAUGAAGUUUGUGGACACGGAUUGGUGAAGUGCUUUCUUGGCUGAAUCUUUACUUCUGAGAGACUCUACCACUCUAAGACUUUUGUUGCCCCAUCCCAACUUAUUUGAGCUGUGCUGCAGCCAUCAAAUUCAAAAGUUCCCUU